CAGCAUUAAAAUUGGAUCUUGCCAGUCACGCAAAACCUUUGAAUACGUACAAUCCAGAAAGUCAGUUUAUACAAGACCUUCGAGAGAAAGAAGUCAAGCUGCUCAACGGAUUAAUGGAUUAACAAAAGAACGCGAACAGUUGAUUAAAAUUGGGAAAUAAGCUGACAGCUGAAUUGUUGAAAUAUAAAGGGUUUCACUGAGGAAGAAAGACAACUUCAACAGAAUAUUCGCAAAUUACAAAACCAACUCGAAGCUAAAGAACAGGAACAUCGUCAAAAGGAAUGGAGACUUGUGGACAAACUGAAGGAAAGUGAUGUCACAAUACAUACGCUAAAUCAAUCAAUCGCAAACUUAAAGAGCAACAUGGACCAACAGAACCAGGAAUAUUCCAGAUUAACUGUAGCAAAGGAUGUUGAAUUGGAAACGUUGCAUCAACAGGAUGCCAAGAUGUGAUCUGAACUCGUGCAGAGAAAAAAUGAUUUUGAGAGGAGGCAGAAAGAGUUGUCUUUAUCUUUGGAGAGAGAGUCGUCGUUGGAACGUUCUAGGGCUCAGCUAGAGUUAGAUUAGCAGCGCAGAUGUGAAGAGACAGAGAGAACUGGGUAUGAUAAACAAGAAAAACUGGUUAAGAAUUUAACACAAGGCGAAGAAGAGGCGUUAUCGUUAGUGAAACAACAGAAACGUAAACUGCUUCACAAGGAUAGUGUUAUCCACAUUUUGAAGACACAAAGAG